UACGGAGGGUGCGAGCGUUAUCCGGAAUCACUGGGCGUAAAGGGCGCGUAGGCGGUUUGUUAAGUCCGAUGUUAAAGACCGAGGCUCAACCUCGAUACGGCGUUGGAUACUGACAAGCUGGACGGUUGGAGAGGAAGGUAGAAUUACCAGUGUAGCGGUGGAAUGCGUAGAUACUGGUAGGAAUACCCAUUGCGAAGGCAGCCUUCUGGACAACACGUGACGCUGAGGCGCGAAAGUGUGGGGAGCAAACCGGAUUAGAACCCCAGUAGUCC
rnacentral:rRNA from 1 species